CAGCAGUGGGGGAAUAUUGCACAAUGGGCGCAAGCCUGAUGCAGCCAUGCCGCGUGUGUGAAGUAAGGCCUUCGGGUUGUAAAGCACUUUCAGUUGUGAGGAAGGUGGUGUCGUUAAUACGCGGCAUCAUUUGACGUUAGCAACAGAAGAAGCACCGGCUAACUCCGUGCCAGCAGCCGCGGUAAUACGGAGGGUGCGAGCGUUAAUCGGAAUUACUGGGCGUAAAGCGCAUGCAGGUGGUUUGUUAAGUCAGAUGUGAAAGCCCGGGGCUCAACCUCGGAACUGCAUUUGAAACUGGCAGACUAGAGUACUGUAGAGGGGGUAGAAUUUCAGGUGUAGCGGUGAAAUGCGUAGAGAUCUGAAGGAAUACCGGUGGCGAAGGCGGCCCCCCUGGACAGAUACUGACACUCAGAUGCGAAAGCGUGGGGAGCAAACCAGGAUUAGAUACCCCUCGGUAG
rnacentral:rRNA from 1 species